UACAGGGGGUGCAAGCGUUGUUCGGAAUUACUGGGCGUAAAGCGCGGGCAGGUGGCCUUUUAAGUCCUUUGUGAAAUCCCGGAGCUCAACUCCGGAUGUGCAUAGGAUACUGUCAAGCUCGAGUCCGGAAGAGGCGAGUGGAAUUCCUGGUGUAGCGGUGAAAUGCGCAGAUAUCAGGAGGAACACCAAUGGCGAAGGCAGCUCGCUGGGACGUGACUGACGCUGGAGACGCGAAAGCGUGGGGAGCAAACAGG
rnacentral:rRNA from 1 species